GCCCCGCUCAGGGGAACUCCAGGGAAUAAACCCAGCUGGAAGGAUCCCAGGGAGCCUCUGGCAGCACGAGGGCAGCUCACACAUCCCGAGAAGCCUGGGCAGCCCGGCUCUGCCACGGCCCAGGCUGACAGGGCUGCACAUUCCUUCCCAAAUGUGGAGGGACUGCCUGGGAACGGGAUACCAAGGAGGGCUGUGCCAGGGCCACCAGCCCUCAGCUGUCCUGCAUUGCCCUGCAAAACCCAAUUAACCCCAGGCAUCGGCAGCACAUCUGCAGGGGUGGAGCUGUCACCCUCUGCAGAGCAGGGAUGUGUGGGGACACCACCUCCACUGGGACAGCCCAUCCAUCCCAGCAGGGUCCAGGGGCCAGUGGGGAUCUUUGGGAUCCUCUCUGCACAAAGUCCCUCACAUUUGGGAAGAAUUCUGUACCUCUCCUCAUUUGUGAUUCAGUGGUGGAGCUGCUGCUGCUGUUGUUAUCCUGAGUCAUCACUAGGCAGCACAGCCCAUCCAUCAUCCAUCAUCCAUCAUCAUCCAUCAUCAUUGUCCAUCCUCCAUCAUUGUCCAUCAUUAUCCAUCAUCCAUCAUCGUCCAUCCUCCAUCAUUAUCCAUCAUCAUCCAACACUGUCCAUCAUCCACUGCCCACCAUCAUCCAUCAUUGUCCAUCAUCCCUCAGCAGCCAGAGCCACCUGCUCCUGCAGAGCCAGGAUGAGUGCAAUGUCAGCAAGGGGAGGGGUCUCUGCCUGGGCCAGGGGUCACCCAUGUCACCCCCAGGGCCACCCUGGCAGCAGGAAGGUGGCCCUGGAUUUGGAGUCUCUUCCGGAGCUGUUUUUUGCUGGAGGGAAAAACCAUCAGGAAAACAGGAACAGGCAGAGGCUGCAGCCAGGGAUUCUCACCUAGGAGGGAAACUCUGGAUCAUAGGAGUCAGGAAAGCCCUGCCUGGCUGCCCAUCCUGAGCUUUAGGCAGCUCCAAGGUACAGCUGCAAAAGGACCCCCACGCCCAGGGCUCGGCUCUGGCAGCAGCCCUGGAAGGGUAAAUCUGGCUCCAGCUUCAUCAGCUCCCUCAGCACUUGUCAAAUUAAGGGCUCUGGUUGGAGCCUCAAAGGCAGAGAAGCUCUGCAGCAGCCAGGGAAGGGAGCUCAGGGAAUUGCAGGAGCUGGGAUUGCAGGAGAUGGAGUUAAUGUCUUCUCUGAGGGGGAAAUCUGGUGUCAGAGAGGAACAAGGUGAUAAAGCUUGACUCAGGGAGCCUGAAUCCCUGAGAGGGCAGAGCUGGUGCCUCAGUAUCUGCCACGGAACAGAGUCCCCAGGGCCUUCAUUCCCAGGAAAGACAGAGCUCAUUCCUCACCAGGGAAUCCAACAGCUCCAUCCACCCAGGGAAUCAGGGAAUGGCAGGAUCAGCUCUGGCCCUCCCCACAUCUCCCCGAGCCCAGUGCUUCUGUUUGGAUUUUCCUUUGAGGAAUGGAUUUAAUGUGCAGUCAAUUGAGUGGAACCUCUGAUGUAAAUGCAGGCAUUUGUUUCUUGGAGUCUCAGGGGUUCCAUUAAUUAUCCUGGGCCCCAUGGCCAAGCUGGAAAGGAAUUUGUUUCCAAGGGAAAAGGAGCAAGUCACAGGCAGAUGCAGGAUGGGUUUCAGACACAACAGAAGAAAGGAACUUAAUUCAGGGUUUAGGAUCAGAAGUGACCAGAGUUUGCCAGCUGAAAUGUCUCUGGACAUUUUAGGCCACCAGGCAAGGUGGGACAAGGAGAGGCUGUUCCUGCAGGAUGGCAGUGCCUGGCCUGGGCUCAAUCCUCCCCUGCACAUGAUCCUCCCACCCCCAAACACACCAUGGCUCCUCCUGCCAGGUGUCCUGGAGCUCUCCUCCAGCCCAGCCCAGAGCCUGGGGCAGAAAAACUCCUUUUCCAG
ensembl:lncRNA